AUGGGGGCGUCCGCGAGGCUGCUGCUCGCGCUGAUCAUGGGGGCCCCGGGCUCGGGCAAGGGCACCGUGUCAUCGCGCAUCACCCGGCACUUCGAGCUGAAGCACCUCUCCAGCGGGGACCUGCUCCGACAGAACAUGCUGCAGGGCACAGAAAUUGGUGUGUUAGUCAAGACUUUCAUUGACCAAGGGAAGCUCAUCCCAGAUGAUGUCAUGACUUGGCUGGUCCUUCAUGAGCUGAAAAAUCUCACCCAAUAUCGCUGGCUGUUGGAUGGUUUUCCAAGGACUCUUCCACAGGCAGAAGCCCUGGAUAAAGGUUAUCAAAUAGACAAAGUCAUUACCCUGAAUGUGCCCUUUGAGGUCAUUAAGAAACGCCUCACUGCUCCCUAGAUUCAUCCAGCCAGUGGCCGAGUCUACAACAUUGAAUUCAACCCUCCAAAAACUGUGGGCAUAGAUGAUCUGACUGGUGAACCACUGAUUCAGCGUGAGGAUGAUAGACCAGAGACAGUGAUCAAGAGACUGAAGGCUUAUGAAGCCCAAACUAAGCCUGUCCUGGACGAUUACCAGAAAAAGGGGUGUUGGAAACAUUCUCUGGAACAGAAACUAACAAGAUCUGGCCCCAUGUAUAUGCCUUCCUGCAAACCAAAGUUCCAGAAAUGAGCCAGAAACCCUCAGACACUCCCUGA